rnacentral:lncRNA from 1 species
CCACUCUCAGAGAAAUCAGUAGUACUGCUAGGUUUUACACAGUAAUAAUAUAUAUCUGCCUCACUCUCAGAGAAAUCAGUAGUACUGCUAGGUUUUACACAGUAAUAAUAUAUAUCUGUCUCACUCUCAGAGAAAUCAGUAGUACUGCUAGGUUUUACACAGUAAUAAUAUAUAUCUGCCUCACUCUCAGAGAAAUCAGUAGUACUGCUAGGUUUUACACAGUAAUAAUAUAUAUCUGCCUCACUCUCAGAGAAAUCAGUAGUACUGCUAGGUUUUACACAGUAAUAAUAUAUAUCUGCCUCACUCUCAGAGAAAUCAG